UACAGAGGUCUCAAGCGUUGUUCGGAUUCAUUGGGCGUAAAGGGUGUGUAGGUGGCGCGCUAAGUCGGGUGUGAAAUUUCGGAGCUUAACUCCGAAACUGCAUUCGAUACUGGCGCGCUUGAGGACUGGAGAGGAGACUGGAAUUCAUGGUGUAGCAGUGAAAUGCGUAGAGAUCAUGAGGAAGACCAGUGGCGAAGGCGGGUCUCUGGACAGUUCCUGACACUGAGACACGAAGGCCAGGGGAGCAAACGGG
rnacentral:rRNA from 1 species